rnacentral:lncRNA from 1 species
CAAAAUUUCAUUUGCUUUAAUGAAGCUAAAAGUGACGCUGCUCAGUGACCUCAGCAGCUCCUUCACAGCAAGGUAUCACUUCCAUCGUCCAUCCACUGGUGUCUGAACUACAUGUCUCUGCUUUUACAACCUAAUCAAGAAAAGACAGUUGUCCCCAAGUUGCACGUUACUGCAUAUUCAAGAACCAAAGCUGGCUUUCUCAGCUGUUGAAUAUUUUCCAUUGAACUACAUGACAGUGGUUUUCUUUUAAGGGCUGUUGGAGAAGUGACCUCAAAUAUUAUCUCAAACACAGAUCAACAUCACAUUUUGCAUGGUUCAGAAAGCUAAGAUGACUCAAUGUCCUUUUGUGUUUUGUUCCUACCAUGUCCCAGACUGGAAGGAGAAGGGCUGAAAUACUGCCAGGUUCAGAGCAACACCAAACUCUCAGAAGAGGGCUCACUCACAUCAACUCUACCUCCAGAAUACCUCAGUUAGUUGCCACUGGACAUCUGCAGUUUUAGUGAGAUUAUCUAGUCACGCACCCCAGGUAAAAUGCACAUGGAGUAAUGUAUCAGGAACUAUGUUGAAAGUCAUAAUUACACAAUUUUAGAUGGGACCAGGAACAGAACCACAAUUUAUCUCAUACAGAUUUGCUAAAGAUUGUGAAGAUCCAUGCAGACCAUUGACAACUCAGGACCCAAGGGGAAGUUGUUCCACAACUGGACUAAACUCUGUUCGUUAUAGACCUGAUGUUAGACUGGAGACUUGGUCCUUGGCUUCUCCACUGGAAAUGAUAUCAAGGAGACUAGUUCUGCAGUAUCCUUAGAAGAAUAUCACAGUCCACCCACGUCUAGCAGAGCACUGAGCUAACAUGGUGAAG